rnacentral:lncRNA from 1 species
AGAAAUGAUCAUGCACUGCUCUAUAAAACACAUCUCUACAGAUUUCAAAGAAUUAAAAUCAUGGAGUAUGAAUUCUAGUAAUAAUGCAAAUGUGCAAAGACAAUAGAAAAAUCUCAAUGUAUUUGAAAAUUAAGAAAUAUACUUUUAAAUAACCAAAAUAAUAUGUCAUGGUGCAUAUUUAAAAAUACGUGUACUAAGUAGUAAUAAAAAUCCUAUAUUGAACAUGAAUAGAUUGCAGCUAAAGUAGAACUUAGAGUGGAAAGAGUAACCUCAAAUGCCUGUAUUAGUGGGAAAGACUGCAAGUUAAUCAGAUACACAUUGAUCUCAAAAAGGAGAUGAAUUCAAACAAAGUAAAAUAAAGAAAAAUAAAACAAAGUGGAAAAGAGGAAAUGAUAAAGCUAAAAGCAAAAAAUGAUGAAAUGGACAUUAAGUAGAGGAUCAGUGAAGUCAAAAGCUGUUUCUUCACAAUGUUUAAUGAAAUUGACAAAUAAGAUUUGAGCGAUAAGACAGAUUCCUGCUUUCUCUACUUCUAUUCAGGAUUGUGCCAGAUAGCCCAAUAAGUCAAGAAAAAGAAAGUAUGUAAGUUAAGAAUGAAAGAAAUAAAAAUGGCCACUAUUUGCUGAUGACUUGUG